GAGAAGUCUCCCCCAAAUCAUUCUUAGAAUUAAUUUUUUAAAAGUUUGCUGCAAUGGGUCAGUUUCAGCUGUAUUUAUUUGGUAAAUAUUUAAAGGCAAUUUUUAUUUGUGGGGACUUUUCUUCUUGCCAGUUUGUCAUACAGGUGUCAUCUUUCAUUCACCAAGCCUUCAUCCAUUGGUAAGAAUAAUCCUUGUGGGUGGCUGUUCAUAAGGUCUUUAUCACCCAGGGAUGUUGUGUGUGUAGCAGUGGAGAUGCUUUGGUGAUGCUUGUAACAACUGAUGCUUGUAAACAACUGAUAAACAAGUAUGAAUUAGUUCCAGGUGACCAUAUGAAUAAUCGAUGAUGAUAAAACUUCUGGAGUCUCAGCGAAUCCAAGAUUGGGUCUAAGACAGAAUGUUGCGCAUGAGGAGGGAGUUUAACAUAUGUGCACUGAAUAGUCUGAGUGCUGUGCCAGCAAAUGACACAGCCUGUGUACUGCCCCCAGGUGAUCUGCACGUGUCCUCAGGAAUUUAACUGUACGGCUUCUUUGAGGAAGGAACAGGAGGGUGGAAGUGUAUGACUGUGAAUAAUAAAAACGCCACACAAUGGUUUUCACAGGAAGUUCAUAGGAAUGCAGUAUAAGGAAUUUAAAAAGCAAAAUCCCAUUUGGAUUUACUCCAAGCCCUAUGACUUCAGAGAUGGAGGAAUUCUUGAUGACUCAUGGCUAGAGUCCCAACUUGUUAUUGACCAGUGUGGAGUUGUUUUUCCUUUUCACCGUUAGCCCUGAACCCAUUGCUUGCUUGUUUGUUGGUUUGUUUGUCUGAAGAUCUGAAAGCGGUUUGCAGAUUCAGACAGUGCAACUUGAGACACUUAAGGACACAACAGCAAAUUACCAUCUUUGGGUCAUACAUUUGGCGCUAAGCUUUUCAACUGGGAGAGGAAAGAGAUUUGGUCAAGAUCAAGUAUACAGGUUCCUAGACAACAUAGAACUAUCCUGGGUAUAAGCUCGGGCACACAAACCCUUUUAUCACUCUAGAGAAUGUGCCCAGAAAGCUCCUUUGUCUUAGGCUAAGUUUAAGGGCAAGUUUAAUUUUGAUGUCACCGCUGUAGCGUGUCCCUUCAACUUUCCAGCCUUAAAGAGACUCAUCUCGCAACCUGACGGUAAUUGUUCAUAGUGUGGGUGUCGUGAGUUGGUGGCCUUCCAGUAACUCACUUUAGAGCCUUUUAUUCUUCAAACUGGUUGUUAUACAAUGGUGGGAGGAGGGCAAGCUGGAACUGAUUGCUAAGUGAAGUUAUAAAUAUAAUGCUUAGCUGGCAAUGAAAGGUGAAGGUUCUAAGUGAGAUAAUUUUUGAGAGUCCAUUUGAUGUUCCUCUAACUCUUUAAAAAUACUCUAACUUUCAUGUGGCUUCCUCACUGUUGAAAGUUUAAAGUCGGCUCUCAGACCCUGGGGGCAAGCGUGUUCUCAUCAAGUGUGGUCUUGUCUUCCUCUUUAUCAGCAGGGGGAGUAUUUGACUUAAAUGGUGGAGGCUGUUCAACUCAGAGACGUGUGCCCCUCACACCUGGGCUUCCUCGGUUUAUUUGAGGUGAUGGGUGAAGGUCCAGAGCUGUUCUUGCUGCCGGAACAGCACAUUUUAUCCCGAGACUUUAAUAAAAUAAAUGAAUGGAGGCAGAGGACUGGGAAACACACUUGAAGGAGGGAAGUGCCCCUCAGGUCAGAAGCCAAGGUAAACAGUCCUUGUAACUGACAAGUAGGCUUCCUGGAAGCCACGGACCAGCAGGAGAGGGUGUGAAGUGUGACCCACAAGUACCGUUUCCAGCUGGAUAGCUAGCCGUGUUGCUCUGAGUCCGGAAAAGGGACCUCACAGAGCUGUGAAAAAUCGGUUUCUUGAACCGGACUCUUACUGGCUGUCCUGCCUAGAGCCACACGCAGUGACAGCACUUGGGGGGAAAGUUUCAUGCUCGUGCCAGAGAAAGCAGGCAGGUAGGGCUCUCUGAGGAGUAGAGACUGACUCGUCAGUGACCUAGGGAAGCCUUGCAGGGGAACCAGUAGACUGGCAGCGGGCAGUGGGCAGGCUACACAUGUGCCUGUAAUUUAGGGUUAAUGGAAGCUCAGACCUGUCUUUUGUUCCAGUAGAAAACUGUCAUUGCGGUGGACGGCUGUGCACACAUUGCAAAUGACAUGUGCAUACACAUCCACACAUGCAAUGCACAGACGUGUAAAAAGAUUCCUCCUGGGGUCGGUGUUCUUGUCCUGGUAGUCUGUCUCUUAUGUCCAUUUCUCUGUCAUGAUAGCGUUUUCUUCUAAUUGAAGUGUUAGGUUCUGUUAAUUGUAACAGAAAAAAAUUCUGUGUGUGACCAUUAUUAAUCUAUACAGAUAAACACAUGUAGAUUGACUCCUAAGCAACUUACAUAGAGCUGUGGGCGUCUCGCUUCUGUGCCCUGUCUUCUGCAGUUAAUAAGGUCCUCAUCAGAUCUGUGGUGGCUAAUGUCCUACCCUUGCCCUGUGUCGAAAAGGUUAGACCAUCAAAAGGACUGAUACGGAAAUUCCCUAGAAAUUGUCAUACUCAGAAAUUCUUGGAGCUUAGUUACAUGUGGGAAAAGGCCUUGCCUUGUAAAAAGAGACCCAAAUCCCUUUAAUGAUCAAAAGUGUUACCUAAAUUUCCUCUCUGUAGUUGGUAUUUCUUGAACAUCUUAUUUCCCAUAACUAAGUAUUCUCCUUGAGGCCAAAUACUAGGUGCUCUCCCUUCUUUUUAAGAAAACUAUUAUAAAGGUGACAUAACUUUACUAGACAGUUUGGAAAACAGAAGAGAAACAGUGACCCAAAAUGCUCAUAUUCCAAGGACAAUCAGUUGUGUGUUUUUAUAUAUAUAUCUUGUAUAGUCUUCCUUUAUAUGCAUAUAUUUUUGUAUCCUACACCUUACAUCUUGCUUCUUUCCACUUAAAACUGUCUGGUCUCUCUCUCUCUCUCUCUCUCUCUCUAUACACACACACACACACACACACACACAUAUAAAUCACAUCUCAUAUCUUCUCUCCACUUAAAGUUACACCAAAUGCAUCUUCCUGUGUUGCUACAUAGUCUCUAUUGUUAUGUCAGCAGAUUAAUCCAGAUGUACCGACUGCAGCUUUCUACUUCACUGCCUCUCCCCAGGACAGUGUAAGAGGCAAGAAGGGAAAAAAAAUCGGCAUUCAAGAUGAACUUACAGGAAAAUUCUGUGUAGUCUCAAUUUGUUUUCCUGAGUGCCUGGGCUCUCCAAGCAGAUGCCCAUGAUUGUCCCCUGUCCCCUUACUAAUGAUCUGACCUCUUGUGUCUGGGACUUGUGGUGUGAGUUCUGUGGCCCUUCAUUGUUCUGUCUUAGAUCUUUGCUGCCACCAGAACUGUACUGACUCUGAGGACACUGAAGCUCUGUAAGGACUUGGAGGGUUUGUGCAAAUAACCAGCCCACUGGGUAGAGACAUUUUAAUUCUGUUGCUUUUUGGUAGUGCAUUAUUGGAUUACAAAUGUUUACUUAGUAUGAAAAAUGGAUAUAAUUAACUAUGCCCUAAAUAGGGACUAGAUAUUUACUCCAAAAUUAAUUUACAGCCUUUGUGCUUUGCAUGCAUGUGACAUAUGUUCUUGUUACCGAUGUUACCAAUGAUUCUAAGGAUUUGAAAUAGUUGCCUUCUUCCACCAGAAGACUAGGAGUUAACCAGCAAGGCACACACAUAACACUUCAAAAAACUUGGAUCAUUUUUGCAAUUAAGUUUGUUGAAAUUUUAUCAGGGAAACAGACUUUUUUCCCUUGUAUUAUUAUUGAUGAUACAAUAUUAAAAAUGGUUUUUACAAUUCAGAUGCCAGUUUUACAUUCAAAAGGGACAGAUAUUAAUGUUUCAGAUUCAUUUCUGUAAUUUUUUAAAUUAAAACACAGGUUCUCAGUUGUGCAGACUGUGCAGAAUCAAAUCACCAGGCUUCAGAUAGAUUUUAUAUGAAUUCCAAGUGCUUCUUAGAUUAUCAAAAGGAAGACCUAAAUUGUAUUACCUCUUUAAUAUUACAGUUUCUGAAUCAUAAGUCUUUGAAAGUUUGUGACUCUUCAUGAUGUCUACCAGUCAACAUACUUCAGUCCAGAGAGCACUGGACUUAGCUCACCUGACUUCUUGUCGGUUGGAGAAAGUACCUGUUCAGUCUUCUUUAAGCCAUAGCAUACAGCAAAGCAGUGCAUGUACACAAGUCGAAUUUAAUAAAUACUUUUUGUAUUGGCAUACUGAUUUAAAAUAAGAGUACACCUUGUAUUGAAAAAGUAAUUUGAGGGUGAAAUCGCAUCACAGGUAAUAGUUUAACCGUGAAUAUUUGUGGAAUUUUAGUUCUUUCAUGAGACAGUAACAUUAAAGCCAACAAGUGUGUUGUUAAGGUUUUUUCAAAUUAAAGCUCAAAGUUUAAUAGAUACUUACAUUCAACAAUAAUAAGCAAAUAAUUUGACAUCUGCUACCACCACCAACAUAUGUGUAUUGAAAUUGUGUCUCCAGGAUGAAUAUAAAGAGGUGUGGGAAGGUGACCGCUCUUUGGAAAAAAGUGUGAGACGGGGGAAGGUGCCAGCAGCUCCUGUUGUAAUCAAUUUAUAAAACUUUAUUUUGAAAGUGGGAAUCAAUAGAUUGCCUCCAGUGCUGAACAGUUAAUCAUUAAUCAGUUGGUCUUUAUUAUGAACCCAAACUGCUUAUAUUUUCUUUUCAGAACCUUCCUAAUAAUGUGAUUGCAAAUGUUUAAAUCAAUGGAUAAUGAAAUUGACGAGUGUGUUCCUGGUCCCAUGGUAGAGAGUGGGCCUCUGUGUGUUCAGAGGAAUGUUCCAGCAGCGGCUGCGGGCAGGCGCAGGGUCCCUGGGCUGCGCUUCCCUGCUCACGGGGCCCUGGAGCUUGGCCAGCUUGGGUGAGGGGGAGGACGAGGAAAGGUUUGGGUUUGAGAGCCCUGAGUUUAUUUCUGGCUGUUGAGAUGUGAGACUGUGGGAGCAGUCAUAAAUAGAGUUUGAGGGAGGUUGUAGACUCGGAGGUUCUCGCCAGGAGUUACUGCUCAUCUACCAUGAGAGGAAUGAAUGGUCUCCACAUAAAACCUCGAUGAACUGGUGGGAAGAAGGGCACGGUCACUCAUCUUUGAUGAGGCGUCUGGGCCUUACUCAGGAUGAAGAUCACAGCUCUAAUAGAAAGAGGGACAGUGAUCACAAGGACAAGAGCUUUUGACCCAGGACCUAGAGAUUACAGUUUGGAAAAGAUGAUUUCAAAAUACCAAUCAUACCCAUAAAGGUGACAAGAACAUAAUCCUGAAGUCCAUUGUCAGUGGUUUAUGAGUGCUUAUUUCAUUCUAAAACUAUUUAUGGAUUCAAAAAACGAUUUAUGCAACAGGAUUGCAACAGCCCUUUUUCUUUAUGAAGAAAUUGGAAGAGCUUUAAACAAACAUACUCACAUACUCAUUCAAACCAAAAAGCUUGCCCUGCCUUUUAAAAAUGCCAUUUCUGUUGUCUGUCGUCAUUUUUUAAUCAUGGUCCCUCUCCCCAUUUUUUUUUUUUUUUUUAAUGUCUCAUUGUGUUCCAAAAAAAAAUUUUUUUAACUGUUGAAUUCUCCCUUGGUACCCAACUUCAAAAAAAUAAAUUUAUUCCAAUGUAGAUGCGUGUAGUAUGGUUCUUGUAUGGCAGGAUUAUUUCACAGGUGAAUCAUCUGGAUUCAUGGUUUUUAUAAAAAGAACAGGAGUGUGUGAUUGCCUUCCCUCUUUCUCUCUGUCACCCAUAUUGACGCGGCCCGUUUAAAACCUGGUCUUCAUGAAAGGAUGCGCUGUGGGCCUCCUGACUGCUUCUGUGGCAGCUUCCCCUGUGUUCCUGUGUGGCCGGCAGCACGGGGAGCGCCGUGACGUGUGGCUAGUGCUGAGCAGAACUCUGAACUAUUUUCCUAUGAAAGGUAGUACCUUCGUGGGGGGGAAAGUCCAGGUUCUGGUUAGUUCCAGAUGAUUUCCCACACAGAAUGCGUACUCUCUCUCUAGUGCUUGGGUCUUAGUAAAUAAAGGGAGUGUUCUGUGUUGACUCCUGGCUUGACCAGAAGACAUUGAUCAGGCAAUCUGUUUUUUCUUUUUCUUUUUUUUAACUAAAAGCAAUUGCUUAGAGUGAGAUGCGUCUGCAUCAGGAUACCUUUUCACAGGUUUGUUUUUAUCAUCUUAUCCACAGAGUUAGUCUUUGCUGUCAGACUUUACUCAUAGGGAUUUAUUAAAAACUGCUUGGUUUAAAAGGAAAAAAAAAACAAAAAACGGGGAAAGGUAGACAGUUGGUUGAAGUAGUUGGUAGAUUUUGACCACGUGGGAGUGUGUUUUCCACAGAGCAUAUUUUAGAGGCCGAACCCGGCUAACAAAAGCUGUUUAUGACUUUGUCUAUGACGUGAAUGGAAGCCCUCAGUGGAACCUUCUCCACUGAUUUCUCCUCCCCACUCUCCUCAGCCCCACAUCUUACUUACCUUCCCUUUCGAAUUCUGUUCCCAUCUGUCGGGUCGCUGAUGAGCAGGCUGGCUCCUGACCUGAGGAGGCUGCAUGCCAGCCCUGCACGCCCCAUCCUCCAGGAGAGGAAGUCACCCUGACCAUCCCCGGGAGGGUUAGGUGUCCCCAGGCCCAGGCUGGAGCCGGCUGGUUUCCUCCAUUCACACAGCGACCGCGCUGGCCCGCGGCACCUCGCUCCUCCUGGCCCUGACUGUGCGGUGGAGCUUCUGUGUCCGAGGCCCGCAGCAGCACCGGGCCCCAGGCUUCCCGGUGCCCCUGGCGCGGGUGGCGUCGGGUCCCAGCACGCUGUGGCCUGGGAUGCAGAGGGUGACCUCGGUGGAUGCACAUCCAGGAGCCUGGUUUCUCCCUCGGCCCUGCAGAAGUGGGGAAGCCUUUAAGGCAGGGCUUGAGGGCUUGAGUUGAAACCCAAGGGGCCCAGAGAUCACAAGAAGGACAUGGAGUGAUUCUGGGAGAUGCGGAGUUGGAGGCCGAGGAAUCCAGUAUUGCCAGAGGAGAGUUUUGCUUUGGGAGGUUAAAGAGGUUUGGUUGCCCUCUGAAUGAGGAUGGCAUUCUAUUUGUAGCUGGAAGUACAUCAGACCUUGAAAUGUCUGAGGCCGAGAACCGUUGCUGUAGCAGGGAUCAGAAUCACAGGCUUGGAAGGGCCCUUGGAAAAGCGUCUCUAGGCCAGCCCCCUCAUUUUACAGAUUAAGGAACUGAGGCCCAGCUUUUUAUGUUCUCUGACUGCGUUUUACCGUUUCUGCUACUCCUGCCUCUUCCAAGCCCUGCGAGGUUGAGGGGCUCUUUCUUGCCCACUCUGGAGGGAGCUGUGGUACUCCUGUUGCCCUUCCCACCCCCGACCUUGGCCUCAGGGUAACGGGCACAGCGGCCGAGUCAGCCUCUGCGGAACAGUUCUCUCCCCGCCCGCCGCCCUGCCCCACCCCUACCCCCCAUGCAGGAAUCCCAGCCCUCCCUGUGGGGGUGUGAAGCCACUGGAAUGUGGCACUCUGACCCCUGGCAGUGAGUGUCCUGGAUGGACCUGGCCUGGGAAACAGGAAAGACUCAGGGGAGGGGUAGCCUGCCCCGUGGCCUUGGGGUGGGACGGAGGGAAAGGAAGUGCUGGCCAGCACUGCCUCCCCACGUAGACCCAGCCGGCUCCCCAGCGCGGGAGAGCAGGUGGCGGGGCGCUGUGUGGAACUGAACCGGCGGGCUUCCUGAGUGCUGGAUCAGGGCUGCGCUGCCGGAGCAUGUGGGGCCAGGAGGAAGGGGUCUGAGGGAGAAGGGAGGGGCAGAUCAGCAUGCAGAGGAGACUCCUAGGAGCUGGUGGACGUGAGGGUGGCAGACGGAAGGAAGGGACGUCCAGUCUCCGUUCAGACCAGACACAGUCUCACUUUAGAAACCAAAUAUGUCAGAAGGUGGGAAAGACCCCUCUGAAGAAGCCACCGCCUCAUUUGGAGACCCUGGAGCUUUUUCACAUGCUCUCUUUUUGCAAGACAGAGUUGGUAACCUGGGGAGGGGGUUGCUGUCCGUCCAGGUGUGAGAUUGAUUGGCACUUAGUCAUCCCUUUCUGGUUCAUGUCAGUAGUGAUGGAUGCGCGCCUUCCCUCUCCCCCGCCCCCCUCCUUUGCACACACUCUGGUCCGUUACCACCUUCGAAGAGAUUUUCAGAACCACGAGGCCCAGCUGCAGUGAUGGUGUCUGCACCAGCUCCUUGACUGGCCCUGGGAUAAGCGCACCUCACAUCCUCCACUCCCUCCCUAUUAAAGCGCCAUGCGGGAUGCGCAGCAAGGGCUUGAGAUGCCCCGUGUGGGCCCUUGUGAAAGCAGGAGCAUUGCACAGUUGCCAGACUGCUCAUGAGCUCUGCCAGGAUGGCAGGCCAGUUUUUCAUGGGCGGGGGGCAGUGUUUGCAAUUAAAUUCCAUGCUCACGGGAAAAGAAUAGAAUUGAGAGGUGGCCAAGUGUCUCUGCAACACCCGUUUAAGAAGAGAACCCUCCUGACUGCCGCCAUACCUGAAGGGGUUGGGUUUCCUUUGCAGCUGGAAUCUCUCCAGGCUGAGUCAGUUCGUUCUUCCCACGCCCAGGGUUGUCUUGAAUGAUAAUUAGUGUUCUGUGGUCCCACACCUUCUGCUGAAAUGAGGGUGCUCGUGUGGGCUUUCUCAGGUGACAUUGUCCAGAGUCCUGGGAGUCGUGGCCCUGAGGCUAAGUGGAGGUGUCUUGGUUUUCAGACUCACUGGUCCUGCAAAGCCCAGGGUAUGUGGCACCUUUCCUCCACCUGACUGAUACCAGCCGCCAGGUGAGACCCAUGGGAUGCUGCAGGCAGUGCAGCGGGUAAGCAGGCCAGCGCCUCACUACUCUAGGUGUGCAUCUUAGGACUUCUCUGAGAAUGCAGCAGUCCUCUAAACUUGAAAGUUUAAAGCAACAGAAUUAUUAAAGAACAUGUUAAGUGCUUGUAUGUAAGUUCAAAGCUAUGUAUCUCUGUAUAUUCUAAUCCUUUGAAAAUUGGUGAUCCUUAUUAAAUAGGAUAUGGAUUUGAGCAGAGCAUCCUUUGGGAAUGGUCAACAUUUAAAGUUUCCUUUCUAUCCUAAUAACCAUUGGUUCUUGAAAGGUAUCUUGAACCUAAUAAAAUAGACAAUAAAUUUUAACCUUUCAGGUAGGAGUUAAGGUAGAUAUAUUUCCAUCUAUUCCAAGAAAUUAUGAGUUUUAUCAUUUGAACAUUUUUUUGAUGCUUCUUUUACUCUAUAAAGACUAACUUUGAAUAGAAUAACAUUACAGAAUCGAGAUCUUGCAAAAUCCACCUACUUAACUGCAUGUGGGAAUACAUGCUGUUGUAGCAUGUGGAAAAAGGACUGGGUGAUUCAUGUGGGUUUUAUUUAUGUUUCAUUUUGGUAGCAAAUUAGUUAUUCUCUAUAUGUGUAUGUUUAUGCAUGCAUGUGUUUAAAUUUGAAAUGCAGAAAGAAAUUUAUCAACUUUUUUUUGACUCUGAAAGAAAGUUAGUUUCUUUGCAAUAUUUUAAAAGACCAAAAUGGUACUUGCUUCCUAAGCCUCUGGUAGUCAUAAAUUAUUAUAAAGCUUAUUCUUUUGCAGUUAAAACAUUCCAGAAAGAUAUGAAAUAUAAGUGCAUAAGGAUCGAAAAAUAUAAGUAAACCUGAAUCUUACAUACCCACAGAACAUCUUUAAAGCUGCUACUCCCCACCCUACCGCCCCCUCUCCCCACAUGGGAUAUUGUUAAUAGAGUAGUCCACUAGUCCAGUCUCCCAUUUACUUUCACCAUUUAUCAAGUAAGGAUUGGGAUCCUACUCAGCAUAAAGUGGCUAUAGAAAUAAGAGAGACACAGUCCCCCACUCCCCCAGCAGCUCAGAAUCCAGCUGCAAACACACAGCUGCAGUGUCUUUGGGUAAGUGAAGUGAGAGGGAGAAAAUCAAGUUAACUUCAAGGAGAAGAUGUUUAAGCCACACAGAGGAGGAUGGUAGCAGAUUUCCAGCUAGUGUAAGAAAGCUGUGCCUCGCAGAGGGGAUGGAAACAGAAUAGUCAGAAUUGAUUUAGUAGGUAUUUAUGGAGGACCUACUGUGAUAAGACCUGUUCUAGGUACGGACAACAGAGCUGUGACCAAAAGAGACAAAAAUUUCUAUCAAUCUUGAGCUUUCUGGUAGAGAGGGACAAAAUGAACAAUAUUAUAAACAGUGCGUAGGACAUGUACUGUGCCAGAGGGAUAUCAGUCUGUGCAGGAAAAUAAAGCCAAGAAGGGGAACAGCUGUGCAGAGGUUUGCAGUUUGAAUGGAGUGGUCAUGGAACUUCUUGGCAAGUAGUUGAGUUUGAUUGGAAUCCUGAAGGGGUGGAAGAGUGAAUGGGCACGGAAGGGGCAGGGGACGUUCUGGGUGGAGGGGACACAGGUCCCCAGGCCCUGAGGCUUCAGUGCUGGAGGUGAGAGGUGCUGGCCACUCAAUAGGGGGUAGGUUACUGGGAGGUUAGUUUGGCCCUGGCCCAGGCCCCAUUUAUCAGUGUGAGGGGUUAGGCUUGAUUCUGGAAUCAAAUGGGAGCCAUUGAAGAUGGUGGGGUAGUGUUGAUGUCAUUGCCAAGACCCCCAGGUCUCAGAACUUGGCAUCCAUGAGGUGUAGAGGUUCGAUCACUACACAGAGGAAACUCCAGUGUUGAGGGAAAUGUGCAAAUAUAUUUUUCAAACAUGUUCUUAAAAUUGCUUAGUUUUUUUUUUUUUAACUGGUCUUGCUAUAUUUGCUCGUAUGGUCUAUUUCACGUGAAUCUUAGGGAUAAAAUCAUUGCUGUAUAAAACAUAGACCUUCCAAGUGAUUAAUGUUCAUUUUUUUACAUACCCUAAGGCAAGAGUCCUAACCCGCCCUUCCCCACCCCCACAUACACUGCACAGCCUGUGGGAUCUUAGUUGCCCAGUCUAACCCAUGCUCUCUGCAUUGAAAGUGCAGAGUCUUCACCACUGGACAGCUAGGGAAGUCCAAGAGUCCUGUUUUUCAUCGCCCCCUUAUCUGCGUUUUCUUCUAGGAGGAGAGUUCCAGGGUAAAUUUCAAAGACUUGAUGACCUUAAGAAUUAGUAUAUCAAAGAGGCCCUGUGUGGUGUGAGAUUUCUUAAUAGUCCACAGUUGUCACUCUGAUUCUCGUGUUUUUUUUUUUUUUUUUAACCACACCCUACAUCUUAUGGGAUCUUAGUUCCCCAAUCAGGGAUUGAACCCAGGCCCCUGCAGUGAAAGUGCCCAGCCCUAACCGCUGGACCAACAGAGACUUCUCUGAUUCUCAUUACUAAUUUCGAAUACUUCUUCCCAUAUAGGCAUACAGUAGCAAUGUGGAUUUUAAUAUUUUUUAAGAGAAAAGAGAUCUGGACAUACACAUCAAACAUUCACUUACAAUGAAACAAGGCACAUUAAAACAAAAAAGAAAAGAAAAAAGUGUUCAUUGAAUAUUGCCAGCAAAUUGUGUUUUGUUGCCAGGACCAGGUAGUUGGAGAUCCAGGGAGUUUGUAGGGAUGAAUAAGAUCACACGUAGAAACUUGCCUCACAGAAAAAUUUAAGGUUUGGGUGCGUGAUAUUCAGGGAUGAUAUUUCUUUGUAGAAUAGUAUUGGGAGUUAGUGGUAAGGAUCAGUUAGAAAUAUAAUUGUUGAAAUCAAAGGUGAUCACUCUUUGACUUAUCAUUUUCUACUUGGUUUACUUUGAAAAAUUACUAGGUUGAAGUUCACAGCAGUGCCCAAGUUGAUUUAUAAAGACAUUUCUUUCAAAACAGUUGCUAACUGGUUUCACUAAUUCAUUAUCCUGAAAGGAUUCCUUAAUGCUACUUACAGAUCAUUACACCUCUGAGAAAUCAUUACUUUCGCCUCAGGAGUAUUGCUUUAUGUGGAGGCAUUGUUACUUUCACAAGGAAACCCUUGUUUCCUGGAUGAUAGAAUAGUUGAGAUCACGUUCAUGCUGUCAGGUUUCCAGAUGUUUCCAAAGGCACCAGCAACACCAUCGUCUUGGCUGAGAAGGUGUUGGAGGCUCUGCUGGCCCCUCGGGAAUGACCAUCGGCCACGGACCGUCAUGUUCACUUGAGAUGGGCUGCUCCAGUGUGAGAUGAAAGAGUAACAGUGUUCCUCCAUUUCUUUGGGGCUUCCCUUGUGGCUCAGCAGGUAAAGAAUCUGCCUGCAGUGCGGGAGGCCUGGGUUUGAUCCCUGGGUUGGGCCGAUCCCCUGGAGAAGGGAAAGGCUACGCACUCCAGUAUUCUGGCCUGGAGAAUUCCAUGGACUGUAUAGUCCACGGGGUCGCAAAGAGUCGGACACGACUGAGGACUUCCACUUCCCUUUCUUUUCCCUGGUGCUCGGGUUUUCUGGACUCUUGGGCUUGACAUUUUGCCAGCCCUUGCCCACCUCCCUUCCGUUUUCUUCAGUUCCUCCUGUUGUCUGCUUGUGUGGAGGUCUGUGGAAAGCACCUUGUAAGGCCCUGGGCUCAGGAAAUGUUAGCUGUUACCAGAUUUGACUGAAGGGGUGGGACGUGUCGCGAGAUGUGUUUCAUUAUCUGUGACAGGUGUUCAGCUAGUAUAAUGAAACAUUUGUAGCCCUCAGAGUGCUUAUUUUCAUGCUCAUUUUGUUGUUCUUGUUUGAAAUUCUGGUCACAUUUCUUCUUUUCCCUGUUGUGCUUUAUACUUUUGGGUGAGUACAGUCGAGUAAAAAUGGCAUUCCCAUAUCUAGUCUUCUGUUUGAUUCUUGAUCAUUUGACUAACAGAUUUUAGGUUGGAGCAUACAUUAAUAUUUGUAAAGUGGUACUGUGUAUCAUUCAUACCCACAAGUACCUUUCUGACAAGAAACGUUAACUUGUGUCAUAUUAUCUAAUAUGGUCAUGAUAGACAAAAGUGGUAGGAAGGGGGAUAACAAGAGUUUAUUAUUAUUUAAGUUAUUAUUUAUCCGAUGUUGAUUGAGGAAUAUUACAUUCGUUCACCGUUCAACCGUUCACCGUUUACCUUUCAACGCGUCACAAAUAUUUAUUGAUAUUUGGAAGUAUUGAGUAAUAAAAUGUUGAGGCUGAAAGAAAACUUGAGUCAGUCUUAAUGUUUCACAGGAAAUGUUUUCAGUAUUAAUGUUUCAGCAGAAAAACUGGGAUAAAAAGGUGUUUCUCAGUUAUUUUUGAAUCAUUGUCUCUCUUUCCUACCACCAAACUUACUUUCCAAAAACGUUUGGCACUUUGUUGAAAUUCAGGUCCUCCUGUUCUGUUUAUUCCUUCUGCAAAUAUUUAUUUUGCUAAGCUACUAUUUGCAAGCCCCGUAAUAGCCCAACGACAAAAAGAACCUACUUUUUCUGGUGGAGAUGAGAUGAGCAGUUUCAUUAUACUGCCAUAGAUGAAAUAAUUCUAAUGGAUCUGUAAUAGAACUCCUACAGAGGAGGUAAUUCUUGAUUUAGUCCAUAUAGCGCAGAUGAAACCUGGAGAAAGUAUUAAAGAUUAAAUAGGAGCUUUCAAAGCAGGUAAAGAGAAACAGCUUUCUUAGCCAGAGAGAAUGGCUUUGCAUAAGCCAGGGGGUCACUAACAGUAUGGGUCCUUUGGGAGCACGGCAUUCUAAAGUAUUGCUGCAGUGAGUGGGGAAGAGUGGGAGCAAUGAGGGUGAAGAGGUGGCCUGCGAUUAAAUCUAAACAAGGCUUUGUGUUCCGUGCCAGAGACUUGAACGGCCAGAUGUUGGACUUUAUUUGGAAAUUGCUGUUUCUGGACUCCACAUCCUUAAGAAGUUUGAUAGGGCAGUUCUUAUAAACACCCUUACUAGGUGUUAUUUACACCAAAGCGCUUCUGUAGGAGAAUAAAACACUGUGACCCAGGUGCCCAAGGGAUAGCUAAUCAUCUGGCUUUAAAGGAUGACUUUUAGAGAAUUGAGAUGAAGAGAGGAAAUGUGAAAGAAUUAAAUACUUCCCCAGGAUAAUUUUUCCCUCAACUAAGAUAUAUUCAUUUGUAAGUAACAGUGCAUUAAUUAACAGUACCAAUAUUCUUUAAAGCUGGUUAAACAAGGAAGUUACAUGUUUUAGUGGACAUUCAUGCUCAGAGAAGCCUGUGUGGCUUAAUAAUGGCAUGUGCCUGACCAGAAGGUCUAACACCGCACAACCAUGGGCUAGUGGAGAAGGCCUAAAGAGUUCCUUUAAAAAUACUGAGAUUCAGUCUCAAAGUAGAAGAAAUGUCAGGGGUUGAGUUCUACACCAUUGGGUUCAGUCAGACUAGUUGUAGCUAGGGAAGAGUUUCCUUGAGUAAUGAAGUAUCUUGUUUUGAUUAUUUAAAAAAAUUUCAAAAAUGUAACCAUUUAAUGUCUGGCUUUGAGUAACUUCCUGGUAAAACCACCGAAGAGAAACCAAUUAAAAAAGGUAUUACUAUAUGUCCAAGUACCUACCUGGAUGAGGUAACAUGCAUAGAUGGGACUGUUAGUCAUAAACCAUUUAUGAGAUAUCGUAAUAAUCUUUCUGAAGAAUCAGUUUUUAUUAUGUUAAUCACCCCUGUUGCUUUUAUCUCUAUUGCAUUUUCUCCAUAUAUUAUCUUUGUCUCUUUUGAUUUGCUUCAUUGCUCUUUUUCUAAUUUCAAUUGAAUGCUUAGUUCAUUUUUUUUUACCUUAUUUCCUGUGAAAUUUCCCUUUAAACACUGCCAUAACUGUGUCCCAUCAAUAUCAACAUGUGCCAUUUCUAUUGCUCUUCAUUUUAAGUAUUUGAUGAAUUUUCCUAUAGUCUCUUCCCAUUAAAUAACAUUUUUAUCAUAGAAAUUUCCAAAUGUAUACGAAGUUGAGGCAACUGUGUAGUAACACAGUGCUUUAGUAGUUAUCAAUUCAAGGCCAAUUCUGUUUUAAUCUGUUGAGACCUUAGCCAGUAAAUCCUCUAGGACUAGAUGUGCUGGAAAGGUCCUGCAAAGUGAUAUUUGUUAUAUUAAAAGCAUCCUUGGCUUGCCUUAUGAGGCAUAGUGAUUGGUUUCCAAACCUUAAACUGGUCUGAUAAAUGGGAAAUUAUUUUAAAUUUAAAUUAUGACCACCAUAAGCCCGUGGUUCUCUGACACUGUGUCCAGUAAAUUGAAUUGUACAAUUUCAACAAAGGUGCCAGAAUUGAGGAAACACAAGGAUGAAGUCUAAAGGGACCUCAUGGAUUAUCCAUUACACUUCCAUAUUACUGAUGAAAUGAAUUGGAACCAAGAGGACUAACUGCCUUGCUCAGAGUCAGUCUAAUGACAGAACUAAGGUUGUGAUUCCCUCUCCAUGAGGACAGACCUCUGGGCUGUCUGCUUUUCCACUUUAAAUUGAGGGUAGACAGGCCGAGCUUCAGGCAGGAUUGUGAGAUAGGGUUGUGUUCUGCAGCCUCGAGCUCUUUUCCUCGUCUUGUUUCAUGAAUUCCUUGUUUCCAGAGAUACUGCUUAUCUUCUCUUAAGUUCUUCUCUGUCUCCACCAGCUUUCUAUUAUCAAAAAGGAAAUUAUCCUUUCCUUAAUCUUUUUCUCUGUCUCAGGAUUCCUAGGAACAUUUUAUUCACAUACUUGGUAUGAUUUUGCUUAGAGUGGUGGGAAACUGUACUGUAAACUCCUCUUUCCUAGUGUUUUAAAUUCUUAGUACCUUCCUUGUUCAGUUCUUGAUUUUUAAUAGAAUACCAGUAACUGUUUGAGGAAUGAAUGUUUGAAAGGAAGGAUGAAUGAAUGAAUGACUUUACAGGGCUAUAGUUCCUCAUCUGAUAGUUGUAUUGCUGUGGUGUCUGACAAAAGUUACAGCAAUGGAACCUUUACUUUUCAUUCACAAAUGUUUUACUAUAAAUUGAUUUAGUCAAUUGAACCAGCAUUGUUUUUCGAAGACUUCCGUACUUGAACAUAAUACGAAUCAAUGGUCAUGUUUGCUUGUUACAUAUUUAUAGAAGUUUGCAUUGGUUUAAGAAUCUUUCAGAAAAAAUUGUGUGCAUAUUUUAAUAUUUCCAUUGUUUUAAGAUUCAGACUUUGUCCACUCUGGUACAUAGCUACAUAUGCCUAACAUAGUUUUAUUCUGUGAAAAUGCCUGUAAAACAAAUGUUUAUAGCGUGAGUCGUUUCUGUUGAUAACCAUAAUUUUGCCCUUCCUGCUUUGCGCCGAUUGCAGCAUGCAGAAGAGGGAGAGGGAAGCACCAGCAUUUGGAACAGAACGCCGUAGGCUGGAAGGAGAGAGAAUGAAAGCUCGCCGUGUUAGAUUCCUCCUCAAGCAGAACAGAAUGCCUGAUAACAGCCAGCCAGGAGCUGGGGGAGUUAAGAACAGCAAUUUUACGUUACAACAGAGUUUCUAGGCUGGCAUGGAAAGAGAUGCCAGUAUUAGCUAUUUGCAUCUUACUGUAGCCACAGGGAUAUGUGAACAGCUGGAGAAUUAAUCUGAUAUAUAUUCCCGGCAGCCUCUCUUCUGCCAACAGAAUUCCAUUACUGUGAGCUUCUGAGGGUGUACUAUGAAUUUGUGUCUUGCUUUUUAAUAGCUGCUAUAGCGUGUUUCUGGCAAGUGGAAUACCACAUAUGGGGUGCAGUUGUAUCUGGAUUUGGAGUAAACUACGGCACCCUAAACUCUCACGAGGGGGGAAAGGUAAGGCUCUGAGUCUUGGACAUUUCAGAUGAACACGCAGUACUUUGUCCAAUAUGUGCGGUCAUACCUGAAACAUUUUUUUCCAUGUUAGUGGAAUUUCAGACUCCAGCAAGCAGAUGGAAAGAUAUUUUGAAGAGUAGAGAAGUGGAAUCUAGGUCCAGUUAGGCCAGGGUUGCCAUGGCUGGUUCCUGAGCAUAGAGUGGAUAUAACCCCCGAGGCAGGCCACAGUCCAUGGGGUCACAACAGAGUUGGACACGACUUAGUGACUAAACAACAACUGCUGCUUCCCAGAUCUGGGGCUGGAGGAGGCUCCAUACAUCUUCCAAGAUUCCUCCUCUUUCACAUCCUUUUCCCCUCCCCUACCCUGAGGAUCACAGCUCCUUUCUCACUAGCCUUUGCACUUGGAAUCUGUUAUAUCAACUGCGGGAAGAAGGAAUUUCAGGCAUCAUCAAGAAUGUUGGAAAGUAGUCCGUGAAGCAGAAACGCCAAGUCCAGAAUAAGACUGAGGGUGGCUGUUGGACGUACAGGUGUUUUAAGUGUUUCUGAUUGGGCACCCCAUGUACACUCUUAAAUUUAUUUAUUUUUUUUUGUAAAAUCAUUCAUUAAACUACAGAGAGCUAUUGGGGACAAUAGGGAUGGCAGGUUAUGCAAAACCUAUGGAACUGCAUACACAGAGGAUAAAUAUAAACAAUAAAAUCCAAAUAAAGAUCCAGACUCAAUUAAGCCACCCUUUACAUUUGCAUCUGGGCUCUGGCAGCCCAUCUCUGCAGCCUCACACACUCCUGAGUUCAUGCUGCUUCCUCCAGGGGGUAUCCUCGCAGAUACUUACUCUGAAUGGAGACUGGUUUCAUCAGAAUUAAAGAUCCAGGGGUAGUUUCUUCAUCAUGAUUUUCAAACACAGGGGAGAAUAUCUCUAGCUUUUUCAUUCACAACCUCCCCAGACAGUUGAAUGUAGUGAAAAGUUCAGCCACUGGAGCAGCCAUUUUUUGCACUAGAGGAAGAAAUUUAAAUGAGAUUAUAAGAUUUUCUUAACAUAUUCAUUAUGUUAAGCCUUUUCCUUUUAUUGUGAGAGAACUUGCUCCUGAUCUUUUUAUAACAUUAAUGUAGCAUUAAAAUCACAAACGAACAGCCCACCUUCUGCUUUAUACUGACAUCAUUUUGUUCCAAAUUAUAAAAGUCACAUUAGAGAAACGUGUUUUUAUGAUUCAGUAGUAGCUUUUAGGAGAAGAGGUACGCGAUGUCCUUUUGUUAGUUCUUAAACCUGGCUCCUGUGCUGUCUUGGCCUAAGUGUCCCAAUGAGGCAUGCUUUUUAGACCAACAGUUCUCGAAGUGCGGCCUACAGACCCCUGGGGGCACCACAAGAGGCCUUUUCAAGUAGUGCAUGAGGUCAGAGUUAUUUUCACAGUAAUACUAACAUAUUAUUUGCUUUUAUUCUGUGUGUCAACAUUUGCACUGUGGUACAAAAGCAAUGCUGGUGAAACUGCGGACACCUUAGCAUGAUGAGGCUGUGACCUCAAACUGUCAGUCAGUUCCUACCAUGCAGUUGCAGUAAAUUAAUACUAAUAACCAAGGAAAAAAAUCAGUCUCCCUUAACAGUGCCCUUUAUUGAAGUAGUACAAGUUAUUAACUUUAUUAAGUCUCUUUUUAAAAUAUUUUUAUUUUUAAAUUAUUUUUGGUUGCACUGGGUCUUUGUUGCUGCGAGG